ACUUACGGCAACACCGGCCUGAGUACGCCUGAUCUCGUCCGAUCUCGGAAGCUAAGCAGGGUCGGGCCUGGUUAGUACUUGGAUGGGAGACCGCCUGGGAAUACCAGGUGCUGUAAUCU
ensembl:rRNA 5S_rRNA 5S ribosomal RNA